UACAGAAGGUGCGAGCGUUAAUCGGAAUUACUGGGCGUAAAGGGUGCGUAGGUGGUUUUGUAGGUUAGGUGUGAAAGUCCCGGGCUUAACCUGGGGAUUGCGCCUAAUACUGCAAAGCUAGAGUACUGUAGAGGAAAGUGGAAUUUCCAGUGUAGCGGUGAAAUGCGUAGAUAUUGGAAGGAACAUCAGUGGCGAAGGCGACUUUCUGGACAGAUACUGACACUGAGGCACGAAAGCGUGGGGAGCAAACAGG
rnacentral:rRNA from 1 species